GCCUCUCGCUUACACCGAGUCAAUGUCUGUUUGACCCAGACCAUUUUGAG
rnacentral:tRNA from 1 species